GAUUUUUCUUCCUUCUCUUCUUCCCUCUAUAAAUUAAAUUGGCUUUGCUUCUGCUGAGCCACAGGCUGUUUCUGGGUUCUGCAGAUUGUCCUUCUUUGACUGUCCUUGUAUAGUCUGGGAUUCUACUCAUCAAUGGAUGACAUUUUCACCCGUCUAUUGACACUGGCUAGUUAUAUAAGGCGUCGAUUUAUUCAAUUUAUAGGUUGACACUACCAUUACACGGUUUACAAUUUGCUUGGAGAUUGGCAAUUUCGUGUUGGAGAAGUUCUGUCGUGUACGUUAGAUGUGCUCAUCUUCGAAUUUGUAGCCUGGCAUCUCGAGUACAGAAAACAUUGCAAGGUUCAUCUGACAAUAUUGGAUGGUUGCCGCGCACUCCUGGCAUGCCUGGUGUGGA